rnacentral:rRNA from 1 species
AACGCUGGCGGCAUGCCUUACACAUGCAAGUCGGACGGCAGCGCGGGGGCAACCCUGGCGGCGAGUGGCGAACGGGUGAGUAAUACAUCGGAACGUGUCCUGUAGUGGGGGAUAGCCCGGCGAAAGCCGGAUUAAUACCGCAUACGACCUAAGGGAGAAAGCGGGGGAUCUUCGGACCUCGCGCUAUAGGGGYGGCCGAUGGCAGAUUAGCUAGUUGGUGGGGUAAAGGCCUACCAAGGCGACGAUCUGURGCUGGUCUGAGAGGACGACCAGCCACACUGGGACUGAGACACGGCCCAGACUCCUACGGGAGGCAGCAGUGGGGAAUUUUGGACAAUGGGGGCAACCCUGAUCCAGCAAUGCCGCGUGUGUGAAGAAGGCCUUCGGGUUGUAAAGCACUUUUGUCCGGAAAGAAAACUUCGCUCCUAAUAUGGGUGGAGGAUGAC